rnacentral:lncRNA from 1 species
GGCCACCAAGGUUGACAAAGAGGCUUGCUGGGAGGCCUACAACCUGGCGCGAGAUGACGGCUUGGCCGUCAUCUGGGUGACUUUUAAAUAUGACGGCUCCACCAUCGUCCGUAUCGGGCAAGGAGUGGAAUACCAGCACUUCAUCCCACAGUGCACAGAUGAGAUCUGGUUGCUUGCCUUCGUGUGCGUCACCACGAGGGAUGCCACCCUCAUCAGGUGGAUCGGCGAGAAUGUCAAGACCCUGGUGAAGGAGGUCAUACAGGAUUUCACUAAGGAGUUUGUGAUCAGUGAUCAGAAGGAGCUGGAGGGAGAUGUAAUGAAAAGUGAACUGAAGAAGACUCCAGGUGGAGUA